rnacentral:rRNA from 1 species
GAUGAACGCUAGCGGCAGGCUUAAUACAUGCAAGUCGAGGGGCAGCAUGAGUGUAGCAAUACAUUUGAUGGCGACCGGCAAACGGGUGCGGAACACGUACACAACCUUCCGAUAAGUGGGGAAUAGCCCAGAGAAAUUUGGAUUAAUACCCCGUAACAUAUAGGGGUGGCAUCAUCUUUAUAUUAUAGCUACGGCGCUUAUUGAUGGGUGUGCGGCUGAUUAGAUAGUUGGCGGGGUAACGGCCCACCAAGUCUACGAUCAGUAGCUGAUGUGAGAGCAUGAUCAGCCACACGGGAACUGAGACACGGGCCCGACUCCUACGGGAGGCAGCAGUAAGGAAUAUUGGUCAAUGGACGCAAGUCUGAACCAGCCAUGCCGCGUGAAGGAUUAAGGUCCUCUGGAUUGUAAACUUCUUUUAUCUGGGACGAAAAAAGGCGAUUCCUCGUCACUUGACGGUACCAGAUGAAUAAGCACCGGCUAACUCCGUGCCAGCAGCCGCCGUAACAC